AGGAGGUGGUUUUGGUGGUGGUGCAGGCGGUGGCCUCGGUGGAGGUCUUGGGCAUGGUGGUGGUCUUGGUGGAGGUGGUGGCCUUGGUGGUGGUUCAGGCGGUGGCCUCGGCGGAGGUCUUGGGCACGGUGGAGGUCUUGGUGGAGGUGGUGGCCUUGGUGGAGGUCUUGGGCAUGGCGGUGGUCUUGGUGGAGGUGGUGGCCUUGGUGGUGGUGCAGGUGCAGGGGGCGGACUCGGUGGCGGAGCUGGAGGUGGUCUCGGUGGUGGUGCAGGUGGAGGAGGUGGACUUGGUGGCGGCGUAGGAGGGGGUGGUGGCUUGGGCGGUGGUGCAGGAGGCGGUCUCGGUGGUGGGACUGGAGGUGGUCUGGGUGGCGGCGCAGGUGGUGCUGGAGGCGGUCUCGGUGGUGGGGCUGGAGGUGGUCUGGGUGGCGGCGCAGGUGGAGGAGGCGGUCUCGGUGGUGGUGUUGGAGGCGGUCUAGGUGGCGGUGCA
rnacentral:lncRNA from 1 species